rnacentral:rRNA from 1 species
UACGUAGGGUGCAAGCGUUAAUCGGAAUUACUGGUCGUAAAGCGUGCGCAGGCGGUUUUGUAAGUCUGACGUGAAAUCCCCGGGCUCAACCUGGGAAUUGCGUUGGAGACUGCAAGGAUAGAAUCUGGCAGAGGGGGGUAGAAUUCCACGUGUAGCAGUGAAAUGCGUAGAGAUGUGGAGGAACAACGAUGGCGAAGGCAGCCCCCUGGGUCAAGAUUGACGCUCAUGCACGAAAGCGUGGGGAGCAAACAGG